UACAGAGGGUGCGAGCGUUAAUCGGAAUUACUGGGCGUAAAGCGCGCGUAGGCGGCUUUGCAAGUCGGGGGUGAAAUCCCCAGGCUUAACCUGGGAACUGCAUUCGAGACUGCAUUGCUAGAGUAUGGGAGAGGGAAGUGGAAUUUCCGGUGUAGCGGUGAAAUGCGCAGAUAUCGGGAGGAACACCAAUGGCGAAGGCAGCUCGCUGGGACGUUACUGACGCUGAGACGCGAAAGCGUGGGGAGCAAACAGG
rnacentral:rRNA from 1 species